AACCGGCGAACGGGUGCGUAACACGUGAGCAACCUACCCAGGGUGUGGGGGAUAGCCGUCCCAACGGACGGGUAAUACCGCAUACGCUCUUCUUUAGGCAUUUAGGGAAGAGGAAACCUUCGGGGCACCAUGAGGGGCUCGCGGCCUAUCAGCUAGUUGGCGAGGUAACGGCUCACCAAGGCUACGACGGGUAGCUGGUCUGAGAGGAUGGCCAGCCACAUUGGGACUGAGAAACGGCCCAG
rnacentral:rRNA from 1 species